GUUUUCACCAAGGGAACCGAACUAAACCGGAGGACUGACGCCGCGUCGAAGAUCUGAUUCGUGUCCCUAAACAUGCUAAAACAUCCAUAGAUGGCCAUAAUUGAAGAAUCUCACAUUCUUCACGUGUCAAACAGCGUCAGCUAAGAGCAUCACCUGUGGCUGUGCUUGGACAGAACGUAGCGGAGCUUCUCCAGCUCCAACACUUGAGUCAUGUCCUCCCACACGCGCUCUUCAUCUUGGGUCAAGUUCCUGUCUUCUCGUGCGAUCCUCGCCAUGGAAACCAUGAACUCCAGGUAGGACUGGCGCACCUGUCCACAAACACGACGGAGGAUCUGCUGAUUCGUGUGAUUAUAACCAAAGCAUUGAGGGAGAAAAUGACACAACGUACCUUCUUAUAAUUCCCAUCGCUGAGAUCUAUAACGAGUGCCAAUAAUGACGGCGGCGUCCUCUCACCCUCCUAUAUCUCCCUCUACACAUGACAGAUGAGCAGGACGGCCACUGCUCUGUGAAACCGCUGGACUUUCCCAUCAGUCCAGUGCCUUAUCCUUAUCUACACCCAGCGACAGCGCGGCUGGAGCGGUUGCAUUUAUCCCAUUUAGAUAAGCUCAAGAUGCUGCCAUUCUCUGCGCGAGUGAAUUAGAGACGGCCUGCGCUAUCUCCAGUACCUGAUGU